rnacentral:rRNA from 1 species
GACGAACGCUGGCGGCGUGCUUAACACAUGCAAGUCGAACGGAAAGGCCCUGCUUGCAGGGUGCUCGAGUGGCGAACGGGUGAGUAACACGUGGGUGAUCUGCCCUGCACUUCGGGAUAAGCCUGGGAAACUGGGUCUAAUACCGGGUAGGAGCCAUUUUUAGUGUGAUGGUUGGAACGUUUUUUCGGUGUAGGAUGAGCUCGCGGCCUAUCAGCUUGUUGGUGGGGUAAUGGCCUACCAAGGCGGCGACGGGUAGCCGGCCCGAGAGGGUGGACGGCCACAUUGGGACUGGGAUACAGCCCAGACUCCUACGGGAGGCAGCAGUGGGGGAUAUUGCACAAAGGGCGCAAGCCUGAUGCAGAGACGCCGCGUGGGGGAUGACGGCCUUCGGGUUGUAAACGCCUUUCGCUAGGGACGAAGCUUUUUGUGACGGUACCAAGAGAAGAAGCACCGGCUAACUACGUG